GAUGAACGCUGGCGGCGUGCCUAAUACAUGCAAGUCGAGCGAACGGACGAGAAGCUUGCUUCUCUGAUGUUAGCGGCGGACGGGUGAGUAACACGUGGAUAACCUACCUAUAAGACUGGGAUAACUUCGGAAAACCGGAGCUAAUACCGGAUAAUAUUUUGAACCGCAUGGUUCAAAAGUGAAAGACGGUCUUGCUGUCACUUAUAGAUGGAUCCGCGCUGCAUUAGCUAGUUGGUAAGGUAACGGCUUACCAAGGCAACGAUGCAUAGCCGACCUGAGAGGGUGAUCGGCCACACUGGAACUGAGACACGGUCCAGACUCCUACGGGAGGCAGCAGUAGGGGAUCUUCCGCAAUGGGCGAAAGCCUGACGGAGCAACGCCGCGUGAGUGAUGAAGGUCUUCGGAUCGUAAAACUCUGUUAUUAGGGAAGAACAUAUGUGUAAGUAACUGUGCACAUCUUGACGGUACCUAAUCAGAAAGCCACGGCUAACUACGUG
rnacentral:rRNA from 1 species